AAACCUGCAAARCAGACCGCGAACACGUGUUUAACACCACGGUGCACGGCGCGGGGGCAAGCCCCYCSGUSKKGUYUCCGCCCCCGCCRACGUGCUCCCUCGGGUCGCWUCGUGCGGGCUAACRAACCCCGGCGCGRAAUGCGCCAAGGAAAACUAAACRAAAGGUCCGCCUCCUGCAUCCCGUUCGCGRAGUGUGCGGGGGGAUCGGSCCUCGAAAAAAUGUCAAAAYGACUCUCGGCAACGGAUAUCUCGGCUCUCGCAUCGAUGAAGAACGUAGCGAAAUGCGAUACUUGGUGUGAAUUGCAGAAUCCCGUGAACCAUCGAGUCUUUGAACGCAAGUUGCGCCCGAAGCCAUUAGGCCGAGGGCACGUCUGCCUGGGCGUCACGCAUCGCGUCGCCCCCCUUUCCCGCCCACCGCGGCGGUUAUGGGGGCGGAUAUUGGCCUCCCGUGCGCCUCGGCGUGCGGCCGGCCCAAAUACGAUCCCUCGGCGACUCGUGUCACGACAAGUGGUGGUUGAAUAUUCAAUCUCGCGCGCAGUCGUGCUGCUGCGUCGUCCGUUCGGGGAUCCACGAAUGACCCAACAGUGAGAGUACCUCACUUUCGACCGCGACCCCAGGUCAGGCGGGAUU
rnacentral:rRNA from 1 species